AGAGGACGAAGAUGAAUCGGGCUCAGGAGUGGUUGUAGUAGUGGUUGUACUAGAGGACGAAGAAGACUCGGGCUCAGGAGUGGUUGUAGUAGUGGACGAAGAUGGCUCGGGCUCAGGAGUGGUUGUAGUAGUGGUUGUACUAGAGGAGGAAGAUGAAUCGGGCUCAGGAGUGGUUGUAGUAGUGGUUGUACUAGAGGAGGAAGAUGACUCGGGCUCAGGAGUGGUUGUAGUAGUGGUUGUACUAGAGGACGAAGAAGACUCGGGCUCAGGAGUGGUUGUAGUAGUGGACGAAGAUGACUCGGGCUCAGGAGUGGUUGUAGUAGUGGUUGUACUAGAGGACGAAGAUGAAUCGGGCUCAGGAGUGGUUGUAGUAGUGGUUGUACUAGAGGACGAAGAAGACUCGGGCUCAGGAGUGGUUGUAGUAGUGGACGAAGAUGACUCGGUCUCAGAAUAGAGAACUUGAUUCACCCAUGUGGCGAAUGGGUAAACUAGAGUGUACACUUCUGGGGAAUAUGGAUCAAGCACACAAUUCUUGCUAUUAGACAGUAAACCUAUGAGAACCUGAGAACCGCUUUC